rnacentral:rRNA from 1 species
GGAGGGAAACCGAGUCUUAAUUGGGCGUUAAGUUGCAGGGUAUAGACCCGAAACCCGGUGAUCUAGCCAUGGGCAGGUUGAAGGUUGGGUAACACUAACUGGAGGACCGAACCGACUAAUGUUGAAAAAUUAGCGGAUGACCUGUGGCUGGGGGUGAAAGGCCAAUCAAACCGGGAGAUAGCUGGUUCUCCCCGAAAGCUAUUUAGGUAGCGCCUCGUGAAUUCAUCUCCGGGGGUAGAGCACUGUUUCGGCUAGGGGGCCAUCCCGGCUUACCAACCCGAUGCAAACUGCGAAUACCGGAGAAUGUUAUCACGGGAGACACACGGCGGGUGCUAACGUCCGUCGUGAAGAGGGAAACAACCCAGACCGCCAGCUAAGGUCCCAAAGUCAUGGUUAAGUGGGAAACGAUGUGGGAAGGCCCAGACAGCCAGGAUGUUGGCUUAGAAGCAGCCAUCAUUUAAAGAAAGCGUAAUAGCUCACUGGUCGAGUCGGCCUGCGCGGAAGAUGUAACGGGGCUAAACCAUGCACCGAAGCUGCGGCAGCGACACUGUGUGUUGUUGGGUAGGGGAGCGUUCUGUAAGCCUGUGAAGGUGUGUCGUGAGGCAUGCUGGAGGUAUCAGAAGUGCGAAUGCUGACAUAAGUAACGAUAAAGCGGGUGAAAAGCCCGCUCGCCGGAAGACCAAGGGUUCCUGUCCAACGUUAAUCGGGGCAGGGUGAGUCGACCCCUAAGGCGAGGCCGAAAGGCGUAGUCGAUGGGAAACGGGUUAAUAUUCCCGUACUUGGUGUUACUGCGAAGGGGGGACGGAGAAGGCUAUGUUGGCCGGGCGACGGUUGUCCCGGUUUAAGCGUGUAGGUGUGUGUUCCAGGUAAAUCCGGUUCACUUUAACACUGAGGCGUGACGACGAGGCACUACGGUGCUGAAGCAACAAAUGCCCUGCUUCCAGGAAAAGCCUCUAAGCAUCAGGUAACAUCAAAUCGUACCCCAAACCGACACAGGUGGUCAGGUAGAGAAUACCAAGGCGCUUGAGAGAACUCGGGUGAAGGAACUAGGCAAAAUGGUGCCGUAACUUCGGGAGAAGGCACGCUGACACGUAGGUGAAGUGAUUUACUCAUGGAGCUGAAGUCAGUCGAAGAUACCAGCUGGCUGCAACUGUUUAUUAAAAACACAGCACUGUGCAAACACGAAAGUGGACGUAUACGGUGUGACGCCUGCCCGGUGCCGGAAGGUUAAUUGAUGGGGUCAGCGCAAGCGAAGCUCCUGAUCGAAGCCCCGGUAAACGGCGGCCGUAACUAUAACGGUCCUAAGGUAGCGAAAUUCCUUGUCGGGUAAGUUCCGACCUGCACGAAUGGCGUAAUGAUGGCCAGGCUGUCUCCACCCGAGACUCAGUGAAAUUGAACUCGCUGUGAAGAUGCAGUGUACCCGCGGCAAGACGGAAAGACCCCGUGAACCUUUACUAUAGCUUGACACUGAACAUUGAGCCUUGAUGUGUAGGAUAGGUGGGAGGCUUUGAAGUGUGGACGCCAGUCUGCAUGGAGCCGACCUUGAAAUACCACCCUUUAAUGUUUGAUGUUCUAACGUGGACCCGUUACCCGGGUUGCGGACAGUGUCUGGUGGGUAGUUUGACUGGGGCGGUCUCCUCCUAAAGAGUAACGGAGGAGCACGAAGGUUGGCUAAUCCUGGUCGGACAUCAGGAGGUUAGUGCAAUGGCAUAAGCCAGCUUGACUGCGAGCGUGACGGCGCGAGCAGGUGCGAAAGCAGGUCAUAGUGAUCCGGUGGUUCUGAAUGGAAGGGCCAUCGCUCAACGGAUAAAAGGUACUCCGGGGAUAACAGGCUGAUACCGCCCAAGAGUUCAUAUCGACGGCGGUGUUUGGCACCUCGAUGUCGGCUCAUCACAUCCUGGGGCUGAAGUAGGUCCCAAGGGUAUGGCUGUUCGCCAUUUAAAGUGGUACGCGAGCUGGGUUUAGAACGUCGUGAGACAGUUCGGUCCCUAUCUGCCGUGGGCGCUGGAGAACUGAGGGGGGCUGCUCCUAGUACGAGAGGACCGGAGUGGACGCAUCACUGGUGUUCGGGUUGUCAUGCCAAUGGCACUGCCCGGUAGCUAAAUGCGGAAGAGAUAAGUGCUGAAAGCAUCUAAGCACGAAACUUGCCCCGAG